CGGAGCUGGGAGAAAGGUGGGGGAGGAGCUGGGGGAAAGGGAGGGAGGAGGAGGAGGGGCUAGGCGCCUGGUGCGCGGUGACCUCAGAGGCAGCAGUCAAGGUGCAGUCGCAGCGUCCUUGGCGACCUAACUGACCCUCCGAAGGCCACCGCGGGCGUGCCUGGGCGUCCUGAGGGGCAGUCGUGAUAUGGGCUUUGUUUGCAGAUUCCUCCUCUGGCCCUCGGGGGCUGCUCUCCUCCUCCCUUUGCAGGCCUGCUCUGCACUCAGCGUUCACCUAGACUCUGGAAGUGUAAGUGAUCCCAAAGGUCAGGGAGUGUCCACUGCCCCUCCAGCUGGAGGCUGCCCUCUACCCGCAGGCCCCACCACCUGGGAGGAGUGGUCCCCGAGGAGGAGGUGCCCUUGCGUCCAGCACUCUGCCCCUGAGAAUGGGCUCCUUCUCAUCCCUGUGAUUCCCUCUGUCACCGCUUGGCUGUAGUUCCGUGUCCUGACCUUACUGAAGAGGAGGCCCGGCAGCCGUGCAGUAGCAAGAGGACAGCGAGCCUUGUUUCUUUGGCCCCAGUCUCCCUUUUCCUCCCAAUCCUCAGGUGGCCUGAUUCCAACAGGCAGACUCCACUGCCCUCCUUGCUCCCUGUCCCCCAGGUAGCUCCAGUUGGGUGGGUCCCUCUCAGUAUGGCCCAGAUCACGUGGUCCAAACUGAGAACUGUACUUAUUUCUGCCUUUGUGUAGUGACGCUCCAAGUCCACAGGAGGAAGCUGCAUCACAAGGCACCUGCAGUCACCCACGAGCUACUUUGCCACCACUGCUUAGGUGUGGUGCCUGCACACAUAGGGUGGCCUGGUUGAGUUGGUACUUUGGGAGUUUCUGUGAACAUCUGGCAACCUCCUCACUUGCAUUCAUAUCACAAGCCAGAAUAGCACCGUCAGUUGGGGGCGGAUCAGUGCUCAUUUCCAUGUUUCCAUCUCCUGAGUCUCAGUAACAUCUUCUUUACUGUCCUCAGUCUCUGAGCAAACAAGCAAUGACCCCCGCGCCAGGCCCUCCACAGCUUGAGGGACGGCAUCCAAACGUCACACUGUGGCUGAGUGACACUGUGUGGUCCAGCUUAUUUGUUUAUGAGAUUCAGGUGUGGGAGAUCUG
ensembl:lncRNA